rnacentral:rRNA from 1 species
GGUUAAGCGACUAAGCGUACACGGUGGAUGCCCUGGCAGUCAGAGGCGAUGAAGGACGUGCUAAUCUGCGAUAAGCGUCGGUAAGGUGAUAUGAACCGUUAUAACCGGCGAUUUCCGAAUGGGGAAACCCAGUGUGUUUCGACACACUAUCAUUAACUGAAUCCAUAGGUUAAUGAGGCGAACCGGGGGAACUGAAACAUCUAAGUACCCCGAGGAAAAGAAAUCAACCGAGAUUCCCCCAGUAGCGGCGAGCGAACGGGGAGCAGCCCAGAGCCUGAAUCAGUGUGUGUGUUAGUGGAAGCGUCUGGAAAGGCGCGCGAUACAGGGUGACAGCCCCGUACACAAAAAUGCACAUGCUGUGAGCUCGAUGAGUAGGGCGGGACACGUGGUAUCCUGUCUGAAUAUGGGGGGACCAUCCUCCAAGGCUAAAUACUCCUGACUGACCGAUAGUGAACCAGUACCGUGAGGGAAAGGCGAAAAGAACCCCGGCGAGGGGAGUGAAAAAGAACCUGAAACCGUGUACGUACAAGCAGUGGGAGCACGCUUAGGCGUGUGACUGCGUACCUUUUGUAUAAUGGGUCAGCGACUUAUAUUCUGUAGCAAGGUUAACCGAAUAGGGGAGCCGAAGGGAAACCGAGUCUUAACUGGGCGUUAAGUUGCAGGGUAUAGACCCGAAACCCGGUGAUCUAGCCAUGGGCAGGUUGAAGGUUGGGUAACACUAACUGGAGGACCGAACCGACUAAUGUUGAAAAAUUAGCGGAUGACUUGUGGCUGGGGGUGAAAGGCCAAUCAAACCGGGAGAUAGCUGGUUCUCCCCGAAAGCUAUUUAGGUAGCGCCUCGUGAAUUCAUCUCCGGGGGUAGAGCACUGUUUCGGCAAGGGGGUCAUCCCGACUUACCAACCCGAUGCAAACUGCGAAUACCGGAGAAUGUUAUCACGGGAGACACACGGCGGGUGCUAACGUCCGUCGUGAAGAGGGAAACAACCCAGACCGCCAGCUAAGGUCCCAAAGUCAUGGUUAAGUGGGAAACGAUGUGGGAAGGCCCAGACAGCCAGGAUGUUGGCUUAGAAGCAGCCAUCAUUUAAAGAAAGCGUAAUAGCUCACUGGUCGAGUCGGCCUGCGCGGAAGAUGUAACGGGGCUAAACCAUGCACCGAAGCUGCGGCAGCGACGCUUAUGCGUUGUUGGGUAGGGGAGCGUUCUGUAAGCCUGUGAAGGUGUGCUGUGAGGCAUGCUGGAGGUAUCAGAAGUGCGAAUGCUGACAUAAGUAACGAUAAAGCGGGUGAAAAGCCCGCUCGCCGGAAGACCAAGGGUUCCUGUCCAACGUUAAUCGGGGCAGGGUGAGUCGACCCCUAAGGCGAGGCCGAAAGGCGUAGUCGAUGGGAAACAGGUUAAUAUUCCUGUACUUGGUGUUACUGCGAAGGGGGGACGGAGAAGGCUAUGUUGGCCGGGCGACGGUUGUCCCGGUUUAAGCGUGUAGGCUGGUUUUCCAGGCAAAUCCGGAAAAUCAAGGCUGAGGCGUGAUGACGAGGCACUACGGUGCUGAAGCAACAAAUGCCCUGCUUCCAGGAAAAGCCUCUAAGCAUCAGGUAACAUCAAAUCGUACCCCAAACCGACACAGGUGGUCAGGUAGAGAAUACCAAGGCGCUUGAGAGAACUCGGGUGAAGGAACUAGGCAAAAUGGUGCCGUAACUUCGGGAGAAGGCACGCUGAUAUGUAGGUGAAGCGACUUGCUCGUGGAGCUGAAAUCAGUCGAAGAUACCAGCUGGCUGCAACUGUUUAUUAAAAACACAGCACUGUGCAAACACGAAAGUGGACGUAUACGGUGUGACGCCUGCCCGGUGCCGGAAGGUUAAUUGAUGGGGUUAGCGCAAGCGAAGCUCUUGAUCGAAGCCCCGGUAAACGGCGGCCGUAACUAUAACGGUCCUAAGGUAGCGAAAUUCCUUGUCGGGUAAGUUCCGACCUGCACGAAUGGCGUAAUGAUGGCCAGGCUGUCUCCACCCGAGACUCAGUGAAAUUGAACUCGCUGUGAAGAUGCAGUGUACCCGCGGCAAGACGGAAAGACCCCGUGAACCUUUACUAUAGCUUGACACUGAACAUUGAGCCUUGAUGUGUAGGAUAGGUGGGAGGCUUUGAAGUGUGGACGCCAGUCUGCAUGGAGCCGACCUUGAAAUACCACCCUUUAAUGUUUGAUGUUCUAACGUGGACCCGUGAUCCGGGUUGCGGACAGUGUCUGGUGGGUAGUUUGACUGGGGCGGUCUCCUCCUAAAGAGUAACGGAGGAGCACGAAGGUUGGCUAAUCCUGGUCGGACAUCAGGAGGUUAGUGCAAUGGCAUAAGCCAGCUUGACUGCGAGCGUGACGGCGCGAGCAGGUGCGAAAGCAGGUCAUAGUGAUCCGGUGGUUCUGAAUGGAAGGGCCAUCGCUCAACGGAUAAAAGGUACUCCGGGGAUAACAGGCUGAUACCGCCCAAGAGUUCAUAUCGACGGCGGUGUUUGGCACCUCGAUGUCGGCUCAUCACAUCCUGGGGCUGAAGUAGGUCCCAAGGGUAUGGCUGUUCGCCAUUUAAAGUGGUACGCGAGCUGGGUUUAGAACGUCGUGAGACAGUUCGGUCCCUAUCUGCCGUGGGCGCUGGAGAACUGAGGGGGGCUGCUCCUAGUACGAGAGGACCGGAGUGGACGCAUCACUGGUGUUCGGGUUGUCAUGCCAAUGGCACUGCCCGGUAGCUAAAUGCGGAAGAGAUAAGUGCUGAAAGCAUCUAAGCACGAAACUUGCCCCGAGAUGAGUUCUCCCUGACCCUUUAAGGGUCCUGAAGGAACGUUGAAGACGACGACGUUGAUAGGCCGGGUGUGUAAGCGCAGCGAUGCGUUGAGCUAACCGGUACUAAUGAACCGUGAGGCUUAACCUU